AGAAUUUAUUUUGGAGAGAUUCUUUAGAUUAGAUAGGGGAGUUAAAGAAGUGCAGGAAAUAAGAUUUUGAAUAUGGCAGUGUUAACUCAGGCGCCGAAGGUGUAAGGUGAUAUUUAAAUUUUUAGAAGCAUCACUAAUCUCUCAGGCAAAAGGACAGGAGGAAUAUU
rfam:Eubacterium ventriosum ATCC 27560 Scfld028 genomic scaffold, whole genome shotgun sequence.